UUCUGAAUUCUGCACUGAGGCCUGCUAAGCUCCCUGGUCGGUUCACACGGUGGUGGAGGCAUCUAAUGAACGGCUAGUGACUCUCUCUCUCUCUCCCCCCGCCACCCACUGCCGGCAAAACACAGAGGACACAAUUAGAGAUGGAAUCGCCUUAUUACCAUGAUAAUCGGCUACAAAAUAAAAGUGUUGGGGCAGAAGGUAAUGUAAUAUCCAAGAGUCUCCAAUUCAGGGAGGCUAUAAGGAGGAAAUGGAAUAAUCUUCCGUUUUUUGAAAAAAAUGAGGGCAGCUCGACUCUGAAAGGGAAGGUCGUUUGGCUUCUUGCCACAGAGAUGAAUUGAGGGACAUUUACUGCCACUGCUUAACAUUAAUUUAGCUCCUGCCUUGGGCUUGAGAAUGCAGGAAACAGAAGCAGGGCAGGGGAAAUAGCAACCUUCCCCUCUGCAGAUAGGUAGCUGCUUAGGCACCAAUAUUCUUCCUGUGUUCCAUUCUCAUCUCGUUUUGUCCCUUUUGCAUUGCCUCCCUGGCCCAGAUAACCAUCUCCACGCAUUUCUCUCGCACAAAUAACCUCUCCUUCUAUGAAUUGUAUGCUUGAGCGGUUUACUAGGGCUUUUCUUUGUUAUUAAUAGUCAUCCAGUUUGCAGCACCAUAGAAGGGCAGAGUUGGAAGGGACUACUAAAGUCAUCUAGUCCAACCCCCUGCAAUGCAGGAAUCUUUUGCCCAGUGUGGUGAUCAAACCCGCGACCCUGAGAUUAAGAGUCUCAUGCUCUACCAACUGAGCUAUCCCAGACCUGCAUGUCUUCCUAAUAUGUAUUAUGCCAUGCAGUGGAGGGGGGGGGGAUGCUCGCAGCUUAAUACUGGGCAGUAAAUUGAGUGCCGGCUCCAGAUUUAAUUAUUUAAUUAUUAGAUUUCUUACCUGCUGAUGGGCAUCCGUGGGCAGGGGUUCAUUCAAGGAACCUGCUUCUAUUCACACAGACUUGCUUUAUAUAAUGUAUAUCGGAAGGUCGGCAGUUUGAAUCCCUACGAUGGGGUGAGCUCCCGUUGCUCUGUCUCAGCUUCUGCCAACUUAGCAGUUUGAAAGCACACCAGUGCAAGUAGAUAAAUAGGUACCACUGUGGCAAGAAGGUAAACCGAGUUUCCAUGCGCUCUGGCUUCCAUCAUGGUGUUCCAUCAUGCCAGAAGUGGUUUAGUCAUGCUGGUCACAUGACCUGGAAAGUUGUCUGUGGACAAACGCCAGCUCCCUUGGCCUGAAAGCAAGCUGAGCACUGCACCCCAUAGUUGCCUUUGACUGGACCUAACCGUCCAGAGGUCCUUUACCUGUAAGUAUUACGCCAAGAUAUAUAUGCAAAGGACUUUAAAUACUCUACAAUGUUCUGUGAACCACUCUGAGAUCUUAUGAUGAAGGGCAAUGAAUGAAUGAAUGAAUGAAUGAAUGCUAUAUACAUGCUAGCUGUUAUAAUCAUAAUCAUCAUUUUCUUCCUACAUAAAAGUGCUUUCUGUGCAGCAAUUUUAUCACCUUUACAGCACCCUCUAAUUAUUUCCAGCCUUCUCCAGCUAUACCUCUCUUCGGGGCAUUAAAGCAGCCUUCUUGGUUUAGGGUAGGGUUUCCCAAACUUGGGUCUCCAGAUUAUUUUGGACUACAAUUCCCAUCCUCCCUAGCUAGCAAGACCAGUGGUUAGGGAUGAUGGGAACUGUAGUCCCAAAAACAGCUGGAGACCCAAGUUUGGGAAACCCUGGUUUACAACAUCCACCAACCCAUCACCAGUGAUCCAGCUCAACAGCUGUUUGGCAAACAGUAAAUCCCUUCCUUACUUUAUUUGGUAAAUCCAGGCACUUCCUUUUCUGGCAGCUCUAAUUCAUCCUUUUCAAGGACAAGGUACAAAGAAAGGAUCAGAAGCCCUCUUGCAGUUCCCAUGUUUAUAGGUAUGGAUCCAAACUAUUGGCCUGGUUUACACAUAACACUUAGCCCUGGUUUAUUAAACCCUGACCGGCAGCUAAACUCUGGCCUCUCUAAUACUAACAAACCAUGAUCUGUAGCUAUGGUUUGUUGUUGGCUAACACACCUUGGUUUGUUUAUGGCAUGGUGUUGCGUGUGAACCCUUCCUUAACCAUGGGCACCCUAUUCCAGAGGUUGGCCAAUCUACAAAGGUACAAGGCGAGAGCUGCUGAAAAUUGAGACAAACUUUGAAGAAACAAACCAUGGUUUCUUUUGUCAUCUGUGGGAUGGCUCCUGCUUAACUUGUUUGUAAAACAAACAACAACAACAACAACAACAAUAAUAAUAAUAUUUUAUUUAUAUCCUGCCCUCCCCAGCCGAAGCCGGGCUCAGAGCGGCUAACAUCAAAUGUAUAAUACAUUAACAUAAAAUCAGAACCACAGCUUAGCAUUAUGCACAAGCCAGACCAUGGCUUUCCUCUGCAGAGUGUUACAAAAUGCACCAUCCUUUAACAAGCCCCCACCCACAAGAAAAAAGAAAAUAAUGCUAUGCUAUGCCAUAACAUAACAUAACAUUACAGCAUCCGCAAAAACGGCAGCUGUCCCUUGGAGAUGCACGAUCCACACAGUGCAUUUCAAACUAUCCCCGUAAAAUGUUUUGCUACACUAAAGAUGGCAGAUGCAGUCCUUUAGGGUGAGUUCAUAUUUCUCUCUCAGCGGCGCGACCAUACAUCACAGCGUCUCUGUUCAUUUGGGUCCCCGCUUUGAGAAUGAGUCAUCUUCCUCAGAAGCACUCUGUUGGCAAAGAGAGAGAGAAGGAAAGAGGGAGGCAGGGAGAGAGAAGAGAAGUGAGUUUUAUUAACCACCAGAGAAUCCACUUUUAGGAGCACACUUUUAAUCCCAGACUCAAGAGCCGGCUAUUAAUACACUUCAGCAAGGAAGAAACAAUUCUCAGAACUGCUGGAUGGUGAAGCGAUGGCUGCUGUAUCUACCUAAUCCAUGGCAGAGAGAGAGAGAAGAUUUUAUCUGGGGUAGAAGCUCAGCGACAGAAGUAGCGAAAUGAGAACACUCUUUCCAAUUUAAGGUUGUUUACCGCCCCCCCCCCAUCGCAUUCCACCUUCCAAGCUCUUCGAACAAUAAGGGCAUAGGAAGCUGUCUUAUCAAGCCAUUAGUCCAUCUAGCCCAUGGGUAGGCAAACUAAGGCCCAGGGGCUGGAUCUGGCCCAAUCGCCUUCUAAAUCCGGCCCACAGACGGUCUGGGAAUCAGUGUGUUUUUACAUGAGUAGAAUGUGUGCUUUUAUUUAAAUGCAUCUCUGGGUUAUUUGUGGGGCAUAGGAAUUUGUUCAUUCCCCCCCCCCCCAAUAUAGUCCGGCCCCCCCACAAGGUCUGAGGGAUAGUGGACCGGCCCCCUGCUGCAAAAGUUUGCUGACCCCUGAUCUAGCUGACUGGUGGCAGCUCUCUGGGGUUUCAAACAAGAGUCUUCUUCAGCCCUUUCUACAUGCAAAGUAGAUGCUAGUUUAUUGGGGAUAUGAUUUUCUCAAGGCCGGCCCUUUCAUCAGGCAGAGUGAGGCAGCCAUCUCAGGUGGCAAAUGCUAGGGGGUGGGCAGCAGAGGCAUCUGUUUUUCCAUAACUCCCUGGCCAAAGCAUUCAGUUGAAGGACAGACUGUGUGUGCCACGAAGCCUGGUCUGCCCCUCUAGAACUGGCCCGCUCCCCUCAGGUGCAGUGAAGGAGACUAUUCCAUUGACUGCCCUGACGUAAGAGUCAACGGCCAGUCCAGUCAGCUUCCAUGCCUGCCAUGGGGAGAGUGAAGCGCCAUCUUUGCCUCAGGUGGCAAAAGGCCUUGAGCCAGCCUUGGUUUCCUCCUGCUCUCCUUCAGAAUUCUCUUAAGCUGGGUAACAUUACUGCUUACUCUGGCUCCAGGAUACGCCCACCUCUGGUGCAUGAAGCCAUGUACUCAAGAUGUCACCCACUAUCCAAAUCUAUCUAUUCUUGAGAAACGCCACUGCCUGAUGUCUUUCCCUUCAAACCAGCUUCCAUCCGAUUUGAAAAACGAAAGCCACAUUCACUUCGCGAUCAAGUUGAGGUGUGUACAUUUGAAGCAUUCGUUUUGCAAGUAUAGAUGACAGCACAUGUGCAGAUGGGAGCGUCGUGAAUAGGAUUUUGGGAUAUGUGUGUACACUCCCAACCCCUCUCUGUACUGGCUCCCACCCCUGGACAAAAGAUUCACCCUCAUUUCAGAAAAUCUCAAAGUUUUAUUUAAAAAUUUAGUACAUGAUCUUGGCCUCAGCUCAAGGUUCAGGUUACACAGUUCAAAAGGUGCAGGGACAGAGACUAAGAUACAUGACCAGGAGUAAGUGAAGACCGUGUCCCAACACAUGACCCGUGUCUCCUGUUCGACUUUUAAAGGGAUGGGGUAGGGUACAUCAUUUGUGUGGUUCUUAUCCCAAGAGAGAAGACAGUGUUUGCAGUCAUGUGCCCCCCCCCCCAGGAUGUGUGUAUCUGUUUGUGCCUGUGCUGACAACAAUGUGCCCUUGGCAAUGAGACUCAAGUCCAACCCUCUGAAUUGGUCUGUGAGCAUUUAGAAAAGGAUGCUGUGAUUACUAGGACCCAGCAUGGUCUUCUCAAAAAGAGUAACAGAGUUAAAAACAGAGUAAUAAGCUGGGUGGAUCAGGGGAAUGCUGAGGACAUAGUAUAUCUUGAUUUCAGUAAGGCUUUUGACAAAAUCUCCCAUGAUUUUCUUGUGGAGAAUCUGGUAACAUGUGGGCUGGAUGAAGUAACUGUGGAUUUGUAGCUGGUUGACCGACCGAGUCCCAUUGUGCAAAUGGAAAUUGUUCUACUUGCACAGUUAUUUAGUGGAAUAUUGUCCAUAGUGUAGUUGUGAUCCCAUGGACCUCUAUGACAUCACCUCCUGCGAGGAGCAAGCAGUGGGGAAACACAUGACCUGUUCUGGAAUUAAUCUCUAUGAACUAGCUCCUUUGGCAACAGAUUGCCUGUACAUGGCCAUAACAGAGCCAGACAUGUUUGACCUCUUUAGCAGUCUCUUUUUGCAGCCAGAAUCACAGGGUAGCGGAUAGCUCAGUUGGUAGAGCAUGAGACUCUUAACCUCAGGUUCAUGGGUUCAAGCCCCACGUUGGGGGAAAGAUUCCUGCAUUUCAGGGGGUUGGGAUAGAUGAUCCUUGCGGUCCCUUCCAACUCUAUGAUUCUAUUAUCCAUACUCUGGUUGGAGGGGACCCCCCAAACCCACUUAGCCAACCCCAACCUCAUCACAAGAUAUCCUUUUAACAGCUCCGCAUUUCCAUUUAGAUGAGGUUUAUUCCCCAGGCUGCUCCUUCUGCCACUCCCGUAGUUCACCUUGUCUUUGAGAUCAGUUUGCAGAUAUAUACUGGGCCUCCGAUGCAUCCUGCGCACAUAAAAUAACUCCCAAAUUCUGUGCUCAAAGGAGAAGGGUGGAGAUGCCUCACAGUUUAUGAUAUUUGGAGAAAAAGAAUAUCCAAAAGCUUGAAAAUUGCACGGACGAGGUUAGGAUCAGGAAUGAUGAUUUCCCAAAGAGAAUUAGAGUCAGAGAGCUUGGUUGGAGGAGACCUGGGCUCCCAGAAGCAGGAUCACUGAGAUGGUGUGGGGCAGGGCAGCGGUCCUGUGAUUCGGGUGCACCAGCAGGAAUCCUGGAUGGGCUCUGUUGGCAUUCCGGUGAUGCUGCUACAGGGGACCAGGACCACGAUGAUGCCUCUUCUCACCAGCCUUUCUUGGUUCUUGGGUAUACCCAGUGCAGGUAUCCCAGCUAGCAGGCGAAAGAGGCAGUGUCCCAGCUAGGGCUGAGUCUCGCCACUGAAGUCCACCCUCCCAUCCCAAAUGACUACCCAGAGAGCAAGGGAUGAUGGGGGCAGCAGGAAACUGAUGCUGAUCACUGCAGCAUCCUUCCUUUCUUCUUCAGGGCUGGGCAUGGGCUUGUUUCCCCAUGCUCAUUUUAUUACUUUUGGUUUUAAAUGCUGUACCAUCUUUUUCUACAACAAACAGUGCUUAUCCCCAAGUAAAUAUGUUCAACAUCAGGGCAGCAGAAGCAGCUGUGAUAGUGCUAUUAUUUGAGGGACUUUCAAAUGCAAAACUGUACAUGCUCAGAGUAUUUAUUUAUUUUAUUUUUUGCAUUUUCUUUCUUUCUUUCUAACAUACCAAGGAAUGUUGAAGUAGAAGAGAAAUGUUAAUUGUGUGCUUUGCAACUGAGGCCAGGGUCUAAAAUGACCUAGCUGCAGUGCUGUGGUCAGAAAGCCUUUCCUCACCCCAAACACCUGCAUGAAAUAUCUGUGUUCAUUAGAAAAUAAAGGACAGCUUUCAGCAUCCUUCCUGCAUGUUUACCGGGGCCCUGAGGAGACACAGAGGCAGCUUGAGAUCACAGGGAACAACUCUUAUCUGAUCUUUCCCUGCAAACACUCAAUAAUAGACAGCCCUUGAAAUUUCUCAGUUGUGCUCUGAGGCAAGAAUCAAACUGGAUACCGCUGGGGUUUCCUUUGUAGAAUGAUAAUAAUGCUUUAAAAGGUCAAAUGCAUAUGUGAGAAUUCCCCAAGAAAGUCAAGAGUGGCAAAAGAUGAAUGGCGUUAAUCUAACGGCAGAGGAGUAAAUCUCCUGUUUCAUGAUGUUGAUAUUGCUAUUGAUGCUAGGAUAACAUUUCAUCUGAAAGUCAUUUUAUUAUCAUUUGGGGGGGGGGGUUGCGCUGCUGGGUAUUUUUUCUUUCUUUCUUCUCUUUUUCCUUUUUGCUGUUGUUUGAUACGUCUGUUUUGUGUGUGUCUGUGUGCCUGAAAGAUGGAACUGUCCUAAGUGUUUGUACCUUUUCUUUUAUGAUCCAAAUAAAGUACAAGAACAGAGCAACAGCCGCAAGAGCCCAGAAGAUGGCACUGGAGUCGUGUCUUUCUUCCUCAACUUCUCUGGGAAACUGAUUCCAGUGAUAGCAUUUUAUGAAUGUUAAUUGCUUAGCAGCACAGUGCAAGACCUGUAGAGAUUGGGCAUCUUCUCCAACUGAUCUAUCCGCCUGUUUGAGGAGAUAAUAAAAGGCCCUAACAAUAA